UGGGAUUUGAACCCAAGCAACCUGGCUCCCAAGCCUACGCUCUUUGUGUUAGACUGAGGGAUGCGCCUCCAGAUCCCUCUCCAAGGAUGACUUGUUGCCCAGCUGCAGUGAGGGCAGGGAGCAGAUCCCCCGGCCCCCCCACCCCCCACCUAGCUCACAGCUGGGUGAAGGGCUCUCUGCUGCAGAGAGAGCCUCUAGCCAGCAUCAUGCCCUUCCUGAGUCGGCCUAGAUCCUAUGACUGAGCAACGUGAGGUGAUGAAGGUCACUCAGGGCGCUUUUAUGGGCAUAUUCCACCCAAUGCUUCACGCACAGUGGGCCAAGGCUUUGUCAAGUCUGCACCACUGUUAGACUUCUGCUUCUGCUCAAUCUUGCUUCCAGCCUCUUGCUUUCACAGCCGCUGAUUCCGGUCAGGGACUAGAAGCUGUCUUAAAGGAGGAUCUCACUGUUUGCCAACAGAUGCAGCAGAUUUUGUGUUUUCUGUUCACGUAGGAGCUCCACUUUUUGAAAUAGAGGGAUUACGAUAUAGGCCUGUGCGGGAUUUUGCUCUUUGAGUCAAAAUUAUAUCUGACUGAUUUGAUUGCUAAUUCUCCAGGAAAGACUCCCCUGAUCCUUAAGUCACUUACUCUUGUUUGACAUGGAUUUACCAGCAAAAGUCUCUAUUUUUUGUUUUCUUUCUCACAGAUGUUUUAUGUAUUCUGUUUUGAGUUUCUUCAAAAAAUAAAGUAAUCCACCCAUCAAGAAAGUAAUUACAUUAUCACUUUUCCAAGAAAGAUUGGGGGGGAAAAAGAGUGGAAAAAAAGUCUGACUCAAAAGAAAAACAAAUACAUAUGUAGAUAAUGAUCAUUCUAAGUUGAUCUAGUCUCAGAAAUAUGUAAAAUUAAAACUAUAUCAAUUGCAUAAGAACAUAUGAAACACGUUCAUACAAAAGCGCUCGCAAAAUUCAUACUUGGAACGCCAUGCUUGUUUUAUGUGGUCCUGUUUACUUACUGGGAGAACGUCAUUUGGGGAAUAACUCAAUACAGGACAGGAUGCACAGGAGAGAAUUAGCAAUGAAACAGGAUUCACCUGGUAAGCAAUUCAACCAAAGACUUGUUUUGUGCUCUUUUUAUUGGGUGGCAAGAUUUCUCCAAAUCAGUUAAUAAAGAUCUUUUGGGAUAGCAAUCUCCUUCUCAGACCUAAGUUCUCUAUUACUGGUGCCCCUUAUUUCAUGUGUAGCUUAGAUAAAGCUCACCUUACUUGGAGUGUCACCUUUGGGCAAGCCAUAAUCCAAUUCCACAGUCGUGUGUUAAUUUAACAGAGACCAGGCACUACAGGAGACGCUUCCACACACUUUAUCUAAUUUAAUCCUCUUGUUGUUCCCUGUAAUAAUCUUACCAUCAUGCCCUCAGUCUUGCAUACAAAAAAAGUAGGAAUCUGUAGGAUGAACGCUUAGGCGAUUGCACCUCUUUAAAGCUUCCUUUGCCUGAGAAAUUCUGAGUGAAAAAAGAAACAGGAAGAAGGACAAGGAUUUACAUCUACGGGAGACAUCAUGUCUGUCAGACUCUCUGCUAAGCAGACACUAACUUCAUUUCCUGUAAUCCUCUCAACGACCGCAUCAAGUGAGCACGGGCAUUUCCACCCUGAGCUAAUGCAGUUUAGUCUCGAGGCCUCUCCUUCCCGUCGCCUCUCCCAAGGCGUCAGAGGGGGCAUCGUAGAGUGUGUUCAUGGUCACAAGCCUUCUGAUGUGUGUGCUAUUUGUCAGUU
ensembl:lncRNA